rnacentral:tRNA from 1 species
GGGGAUAUAGCUCAGUUGGGAGAGCGAUACGUUCGCAACGUAUAGGUCACGAGUUCGAAUCUCGCUAUCUCCA